AUUGAACGCUGGCGGCAUGCCUUACACAUGCAAGUCGAACGGCAGCACGGGAGCAAUCCUGGUGGCGAGUGGCGAACGGGUGAGUAAUAUAUCGGAACGUGCCCAGUCGUGGGGGAUAACGCAGCGAAAGCUGUGCUAAUACCGCAUACGAUCUAAGGAUGAAAGCGGGGGAUCGCAAGACCUCGCGCGAUUGGAGCGGCCGAUAUCAGAUUAGCUAGUUGGUGGGGUAAAGGCCCACCAAGGCGACGAUCUGUAGCUGGUCUGAGAGGACGACCAGCCACACUGGAACUGGGACACGGUCCAGACUCCUACGGGAGGCAGCAGCGGGGAAUUUUGGACAAUGGGCGCAAGCCUGAUCCAGCAAUGCCGCGUGCAGGAUGAAGGCCUUCGGGUUGUAAACUGCUUUUGUACGGAACGAAACAGCCCUUUCUAAUACAGGGGGCUAAUGACGGUACCGUAAGAAUAAGCACCGGCUAACUACGUGCCAGCCGCCGCCGUAA
rnacentral:rRNA from 1 species